rnacentral:misc_RNA from 1 species
GUGAAAGUGUUAGAGCCUCAGAGAACGAGCUCUGACUUUUCAAGGUGAAACGACAGAGUGAGAGGGCAUCACACUUCACACCGACUGAUUAGAAUAGCCUAUUAACAUAACCUCUUAUCUUUGACUCCGAAAAACGGACGGAAAUAGCCACAGCAAUGGGGAUCACCGGAAAUCUCACUUCCGACCAGCUCCAGUCAUUCAACUCGCAAGGUUAUCUCGUGAUAGAAUCAU